rnacentral:lncRNA from 10 species
CCGGACUUUGCGGGCGGGCGGGCACUGGUGAGAAGAGGAAGUGGGAGAGGCCUGGGAAGGAAACUUGGAAACCGAAAACUCGGCGGCCGAGGCUCCGUGCCCCGCGCGCAGCGCUGCUCCUGCCCCGGCCAAGGACGCACGGGCCAGCCGGCGGAACCAGAGGUUUUCAGUGAUGUUGAGAGUCAACAGGAAAUUAAUCAGCAAGUAGAAAAUUGAAAGAAGAUCUGCAUCUUACUGCAGGAGUCAUUAAAAUAAAAGCAGAUUUGGCAAAAUGGCAAGAACCAGAGGAUGAGGAUGUAAAACAAAAACUUUUGGAGUCAUUUUGCCACCAGGAUGAAAAUAGGAUGAAGCUGACAUGACAAAGGUGCAGGUGACAGCUUCUACCUUAUGAUCUGCGUUCCAGUCAGCGGGAAGGAGAUGGGGUGGGAAUGUGAUAAACCACUUCCCUUGAAGGACAUUUUCCAGAAGACACAAUGGCAAUGAAUGGACCACACCAAAUCUACAGUGAAUAUGCAGCAAGAGACCUGAGCCAAGUAACCCCAGCACAGUCUGAGAUGUGCAAGGCAGAAGCAAAUUUAAGGAGAAUGAAACGGAAAGCAAGGCCCAAUUAAAAUCCAAAUGAACAGGAAGCACGAUGCAAAAGCAAACUUGGAAAAAGCCAAGGCGAGAGAGGAACACUUUGGAAGAAGCACAGUUAUGGCAAAGGAGCUAUCCUGUACCAACACGAAGGAGAGAGUGGUAAAGGACCCCACAGAAAUGGAGGGAAUGAUAUUGACACAAAAAUGGCAACAAGAUCUAACUCCAGCGUCAAACUGAAGUAACAGCAGCUGCAGCAACUAAGAAUCUCAUUCUGUCCCCCCAGCUGGAGCACAGUGGUAUGAUCUCGGCUCACUGCAACCUCCGCCUCCCGGGUUCAAGUGAUUCUCCUGCCUCAGCCUCCCAAGUAGCUGGGACUACAGGUGCCUGCCACCAUGCCUGGCUGAUUUUUGUAUUUUUAGUAGAGACUGGGUUUCACCAUAUUGGCCAGGCUGGUCUUGAACUCCUGAACUUGUGAUCCGCCCGCCUCAGCCUCCCAAAGUACAUUAAUAACUUUUUAAAACUCUGAAUAUAAUAGGCAUUAAAGAUUUCUAGAAUGCCAUGGGUUCUGAGUCAU